ensembl:lncRNA
CUUAUGGCAGAGUAGUGCUCUGCAGUGUGUAAAGACCACAUUUUCUUAUCUACUGUUCUGUUGAUGGAUGUAGGCAUUUCUCCUUUCAAAGACAGACGCUGUAUCUAUCAGUUAUAAAGGCAUUCUGAAAUUAAAGCAUGCCAUUUAGAGUGUCCGUACUUAGACCAUUAAGUUACCUUUGUACUGUACUGGAAGAACAACUGCAAUGCCACUUCUGCCAUAGACGUGUGCCUCUCACUGCUACUCCUAGGCAAGGACAAUCGGUCUAGAGGAUGAAGGGCCGCAGUUCCCCCUGUUGAGAUACAAAUGGUGAAGGGGAUCUGCUCCAGUUGAGCCCAGCCUGGUCACGUGUGCGUGGGUGCGUGUAGGUGGGACAGCCGGCAGCGCCCCUGGGAGUCAGCGCUGUGGCUGGGCAGGGCUCUCCGAUGCGGGAGGGCCCGCUGCUGUCCAGUGUCUGCCUUGGCCAAGGCUCUGCCCGCGACACCCACGUUGUCACCCGCUGGACACCCACUCCCGGUCUGAUUAAGCUCCGUACCCAGCCGUUUACCGGGCAGAGGCACAGGGCCUUUCUCCUGCGACACGCCGUCAGAGUCCACUUCCUCUUUCUCCCCCUGCUGUCCACCCUGUCGGGCCUGAAGCCGCCCAUCGGGAGGCGCCCGCGCCUGCCCAGCCUGGGUUUGGGCCAGGGUUCUAGUGCUUUCCAGAUUUCUUGCACUUUCUAGGUGCAAAUGCGUUUCUGGGUCUUCUUUAUGCUUUUUCUCCCCCUCUUCUCUUCUGCUUCCCUCCCUUCACUUUUUGGAGGCAGGAUUUCACUCUGGAGACCAGGCUGGGCUUGAGCUCUCGAUCUUCCACCCCUGCCUCCGGGUGCUGGGAUGAGGUUCGGGAAACCCAGGAGCGUUUGUGUCCGCAGCGGUGGGAAGGACGAUGAGCAUCGUCUUCCGAGCGCAGCUGCCCUUGAAGCUGCUGCUCUGCCGUCUGACCCUGGGGCGCCUCCCCGCGGGGCCUGCCCGUUGGGUCGCCCUCUGCCCGCGGCUGGGCCGGUCCGCGGCCCUCGCACCCCGCCGCGCACGGGUCCUUCCCCGGGCCGGGUCGCACAGCUCCUGCGACACACUUUCAAACCGGCCCCGCCGUCCGUUACGUCUCGAGACCUCUCGUAAUGAAAGUACUCGGUUCAGAACAGGAAUAAUAAUGUGAAGCAAAUGAAAACGAAGGCGUCUAGGCAAGGUUUGCGGUAGAAGGUGAUGAAAGAAUGGAAUGGCCCCCUUCUCACCCCGCUGGGUCUAGGAGUUUGGGCCCGGACCGAGAAGUGGCCUCGGAGUCGGGGAGGUCGCACUUCCCAUCGUUUCAGAAUGCCUGGGGGCUGGAUUAGGACCCAGGGUCUCACGGUGUUUCCCAAGCUGGCCUGUAGUCCAGUCGGGCCUCCAAGUCUCCGAGGCCCUCCUGCCUCAGCCUCUUGUGUCUGGGGUUACAGGCGUGCACCGUCCGGCCUGGCGCUUUCCAAUUUCAGUCCCCACCAUAGCGGAAACUACAGGGUUCCUUUUGGACAGCUGCAAGCGUUGGGAAGCUCAGAGCAGGAACAACGUACUGCUAUCUUGUGAAGAAGUGUUGCCAGGGCGACAGGCCUGGAAAUGGGCAAGUGACAGGAAAGGGUGAGUGUUUUUUC